AACUCAAAUUUUAAAUCAUUGCUUAUUUUCUUAUUGUGGCCUUCAAUAACAAUUGUUAACACUACAUUAAAAACAACUUACUAUAUCAAAGAUUUUAUUUAAUAAUACCAGUAGAGUAACGUGGAAAAGGAUAUUAUUUGAGUGAAAUAAUUGUUUUAAUUGUCUAAAUUAUAAUAUAUAUAUCAUGAGUUCGGGGUUUGUUUCUGAAACAGAGUUAGCUGAACGAAGACGAGUUCGACAGGAGGAAUGGGAAAAAGUUAGAACUGCUGAGCAGCCUUUAGAGGCGCCUGAAGAGCAGUAUGACCAUCGAUCAUUAUUUGAUAGACUAGAAGAACAACGAAGAAAAAAAGAGUAUGAAUAUGAAGAAACACAUAAACUCAAGAAUAUGAUAAGAGGUUUAGAUGAUGAUGAGGUUGAUUUCCUUGAACUAGUCGAUCGUACAAAAAUGGCUGAAGAACGCCGCCAAUUAAUAGAAGAAGCAAAACAAAUUGAAGAAUUUCGUUCUAAAGUAUUGGAUCUUCAAUGUGAAUCUUCUAUUUUACCUUUGAAAACAACUGUUUCAAAACCAUCAACAAUAUCUAGUAGCAUAGUUAAAAAAACACAAAGUAAACUAUUGGCUGGUGCUAUUAUAAAAAAAAGGUCAUCUGAAGAAAGUACAAGUGGUUCAAAAAAGCAAAUGAUUAAUCAUGAAUCUAUAAAAUUAAAUGUCAAACAUAAUGAAAAAUCUUCAGGUAAUGUGAAGUCUAGCCUUUUACCGGGUAUUGCUUAUUCAGAUAGUUCAGAUAGCGAUGAAGAUUUACUAAACUAUCCUGUUAAAACUUUAGAAAAAAGUAUAUUUUUUUGAAAAUCUGACCCUUGAACCGUCUAUCGAGAGGAUUCAAAUUUGUUCCAUAUGCAUAAAAAGUGAAUUCUUGUAACAAAGUACAACCGCCGCAUUUUCUGUUUGGUGUACACAAACUAAACAAAGGGAAAAUAUAAAAAAGAAUUCACGCUAACACAGUGAAGCAGACGCGAGUGAGCAUACAAUUUACUGAGCAUAAGUAGAAAUCUGAAUCACUGAACAAAUAGAAGACAUGAGUACUAACAGUGUCAUGUAGUACAAAUACUGCAUGACAUACGCCACCAUUCAGUUGCAGCCGUUGCUGAACAAUCAGUCUUGGUUCACUGAUCAUCACCGCUUGUGCCGAUCGUCGUUCAUUACCGUUACCGCCACUGUCCGAUAUCCCUGUACAAGUCCGUCAUCUCCACCGCUAUCUGCGCCACUUUUAGCAGCGUUGUGACGUUGAGAUCACCGCUAUAGCGGAAAACGUUGUCAACCAUUGCCGGAACAGUAGUCAUCUUCUCGAACCCCUGACCCAUUUAUAUGAGUUGCAGUAUUAUUAACCCACGUGCGUGUGUUUCAGUGUGUCCGAAUAUGCGUGUUGUGAUAAAUAGGUGGUGCUCAUGAAGGUAACCAUAAGGGGGAUCUCUUCGCGCAUAACUCACGACAGAGUCCAUAUGCGAACGGUCUGUCAAGACCAGUUAGCGAACCCAAACGCAUCGCCACCGUCAAAUCAAAGAACGGCGAUAAGACACGGGCCGCCAUGCCAUGCCAACCGUGGGCUCUGCGUCAGUGAAUAUCUGACAUCCGUCAGAAAAACGUCCCACACAUUGUAUUCAUUCCAGUGCCGGACGUGUGUUAUGAAAAUAUUCAUAAAUGUGUAAAUAGUAUUUUUGUACAUAGUUUUUAUUGUUAUAUUUAACGUAAAAUAAUGCUUGUGUAUUUAUGAUAUUCAAUAUAAAUAAAGUUAACCGCAUCCUUCUUUAUUGAUUUCAGUAAUUUUUGUUUUAAUCUAAAUACAUUUUAAACAAAAUUAUAGAGAAUUUCACAGUUGUGCGACAGUUACGAAAAAAUUAUUCUUCAUCUAAAAACAAACAAGAGAUCUAGUUUUUUAAAAAUAUUUGGGUUUACCCUAAAAUACGCAGAGGAACUACGCCAAAAAUUUUGAAAGGACAAAUUCAAGACAGGAGAAUCAGAGAACGGGCAAACAAUAAAGUGAUUAAAGAUGCCGGAUUGAGAACCACAGGGGACUAAAAAGAAUGCCAAGGAAUAGAGAAGAGUGGUGAGAGUAUGGAAAAAGAGUGCUGUAAAACUAACCUUAGGAUUAAUUUCUAAAAGAAAAAGAAUUUAAAAAAAAAUCACAUAAAA